rnacentral:tRNA from 1 species
GAAGAAUUAGUUAAAUCAUAACAUUAAUAUGUCAUAUUAAAAUUAUUAAAUUACUAAUAUCCUUCU